AGGUGGUGGUGGAGGUGGUGGUGGUUGUAGAGGUAGUGGUGGAGUUGGUGGAGGUAGUGGUGGUGGAGGUAGUGGUAUUGUAGAGGUGGUGGAUCUGGAGAGGUAGUGGUGGAGAAGUAGUGGUGGAGGUAGUGGUGGAGGUGGUGGUGGUGUUGGUGGUGGUUGUAGAGGUAGUGGUGGAGGUGGUGGUGGUUGUAGAGGUAGUGGUGGAGGUGCUGGAGGUGGUGGAUGUAGUGGUGAAGGUGGUGGAGGUAGUGGUGGUUUAGGAGGUAGAGGUGGAGGUGGUGGAGGUGAUGGUGGUUUUAGAGGUAGUGUUGGAGGUGGAGGUGGUUGUAGAGGUAGUGGUGGAGGUGGUGGUGGUUGUGGAAGUAGUGGUGGAGGUGGAGGUGAAGGUGGAGGUGGUGGAGGUGGUGGUGGUUGUAGAGGUAGUGGUGGAGUUGGUGGAGGUAGUGGUGGUGGAGGUAGUGGU
ensembl:lncRNA